UUCAGACGUGUAGCGUUCCCUUGUACACUCCUGUGAGGACACAAGACUGAAUAAAGCUGAUACGGGAAAUCCCGUCACGAAGUAGAUUACACCGCGACCUACUACUUUCGGUAACUAAGCCUGGAUUAUUCAGGAGCUCUCAUCUAUCUAUAUAUAUCUUACAACGACCACCUGCUAGAUAUUGUCCAUCAUUUAUGGAAGUCACCCAUCAUGAAUCAAGUGAUGAGCAAGAUUCGUCUGACAUGUUGGCAAAUUGCCUUUCAUUUCCCGAUAUACCACUAGAGGAUUUCAUACGUCAACACAAUAUUCACUGUAUGUUGAUUCUGGACUGUCUAAUCAGCAACGACAGGCGAUUUAUGCCAAACAGACUGCAGAUCCACAUAAUGACAGUAGAUUUGUUCUUUGUCAACAAGAAUCCAGCAUGGAAUUUGGACCUGAAAAUGUUAGGGCUGGAGAAUAUGUACGGUAUCCUGCACAAAAAUCCGAACACCGAUUUAAUUUUUUAAAGCCACCUAUUGGUGGGGUAAAGGGUUUUUUACUUACCCAACCCUGCCCUGUCGUGUCCGUCUAUUCCCUCUUAAAGAAAAACAAACAAAAAACCCACUAAUUCCAGGAAUUUAAAUUAAAGGGUUAUCUUAAAAAUGUAUUCAUUUAAUUUAUUGUUUAGGUGAAAUUCAUCAAAUGUAUUGGGUGUAAUUCUGAAGAAGAUGCUGUACACAGGGCAUGGGAAUUAUGCGGACUGCCCAUACCCAUUGAUGCGGACAUGCCCAUUAAAAUUUUUUAUUUAAAUUUCAAACUAAAGAUAUAUUAAAAAAUUAACACAUGAUGUAUAAUUCAAAA